rnacentral:rRNA from 1 species
AGAGUUUGAUCAUGGCUCAGGAUGAACGCUGGCGGCGUGCUUAACACAUGCAAGUCGAACGGAAAGGCCCUUCGGGGUACUCGAGUGGCGAACGGGUGAGUAACACGUGGGUGAUCUGCCCUGCACUUUGGGAUAAGCCUGGGAAACUGGGUCUAAUACCGAAUAGGACCGCGCGCUUCAUGGUGUGUGGUGGAAAGCUUUUGCGGUGUGGGAUGGGCCCGCGGCCUAUCAGCUUGUUGGUGGGGUAAUGGCCUACCAAGACGACGACGGGUAGCCGGCCUGAGAGGGUGACCGGCCACACUGGGACUGAGAUACGGCCCAGACUCCUACGGGAGGCAGCAGUGGGGAAUAUUGCACAAUGGGCGCAAGCCUGAUGCAGCGACGCCGCGUGAGGGAUGACGGCCUUCGGGUUGUAAACCUCUUUCAGUAGGGACGAAGCGAAAGUGACGGUACCUACAGAAGAAGGACCGGCCAACUACGUGCCAGCAGCCGCGGUAAUACGUAGGGUCCGAGCGUUGUCCGGAAUUACUGGGCGUAAAGAGCUCGUAGGUGGUUUGUCGCGUUGUUCGUGAAAACUCACAGCUUAACUGUGGGCGUGCGGGCGAUACGGGCAGACUAGAGUACUGCAGGGGAGACUGGAAUUCCUGGUGUAGCGGUGGUAUGCGCAGAUAUCAGGAGGAACACCGGUGGCGAAGGCGGGUCUCUGGGCAGUAACUGACGCUGAGGAGCGAAAGCGUGGGGAGCGAACAGGAUUAGAUACCCCGGUAGUCC